UACGGGGGGGGCAAGCGUUGUUCGGAAUUACUGGGCGUAAAGGGCUCGUAGGCGGCCAACUAAGUCAGACGUGAAAUCCCUCGGCUUAACCGGGGAACUGCGUCUGAUACUGGAUGGCUUGAGGUUGGGAGAGGGAUGCGGAAUUCCAGGUGUAGCGGUGAAAUGCGUAGAUAUCUGGAGGAACACCGGUGGCGAAGGCGGCAUCCUGGACCGGCAUUGACGCUGAGUGAGCGAAAGCUAGGGGAGCAAACGGG
rnacentral:rRNA from 1 species